rnacentral:rRNA from 1 species
AAUGAACGUUGGCGGCGUGGAUUAGGCAUGCAAGUCGAGCGAGAACCAGUCUUCGGACUGGGGAGAGCGGCGAACGGGGUAGGAAUACCUCGGUGACGUACCCCUCGGUCGGGGAUAGCGGCGGGAAACUGCCGGUAAUACCCGAUAACCUGUCUUGAUUUUAUGUUUGGGACAGCAAAGGUGUGAUUCCGUCGGGGGAGCGGCUGAGGUCGUAUUAGCUAGUUGGUAAGGUAACGGCUUACCAAGGCGAUGAUGCGUAGGGGGUGUGAGAGCAUGGCCCCCACCACUGGCACUGAGACACUGGCCAGACACCUACGGGUGGCUGCAGUCGAGAAUCUUCGGCAAUGGGCGCAAGCCUGACCGAGCGACGCCGCGUGCGGGAUGAAGGUCUUCGGAUUGUAAACCGCUGUCGGAGGGGAUGAAGUGCACCAGAGCAAUCUCUGGUGUUUGACAGAGCCUCGGAGGAAGCACGGGCUAAGUUCGUGCCAGCAGCCGACGG